rnacentral:rRNA from 1 species
UACGUAGGGUGCCAGCGUUGUUCGGAAUUACUGGGCGUAAAGGGUUCGUAGGCGGUGCGGCAAGUUGGGAGUGAAAUCUCUGGGCUUAACCCAGAGGCUGCUUUCAAAACUGCUGUGCUUGAGUGUGAGAGAGGCUCGUGGAAUUGCAGGUGUAGCGGUGAAAUGCGUAGAUAUCUGCAGGAACACCCGUGGCGAAGGCGGCUCUCUGGGACGGUACUGACGCUGAGGAGCGAAAGCGUGGGGAGCGAACAGG